CCUUUUUAUAUGUUACUAGUUAAUUUUGAUAGUACUUCCUUGAUACUUUUUACCUAUUUCAUAUUGGUCUGUAAUUUUCCUUUCUGGAAAUGUCUUUGUCUAGCUGUGGUGUCAGGGAACACUGGCUUCAUACAGUGCGUUGGGAAAGGUUCUCUACUCGUCUGAUUUUAUUGAUUGUUAUUAAUGCUGAAAGGCUUUGAAUAACACACCAGUGAAGUCAUCUUGACCUGGACAGAAAUUGAAUCCUUACAAGAAUUCUAGGAGCUUGGAAGGGGAUCCUUUGCCAGGUCUUCGUGUAGUCUCCACACUGCCUUCCACAAUGGUUGAACUAAUUUAGACGUCCACCAACGGUGUACUCCAUCAGGAAUUGUUUGGGACCAUGCAUUCUGUUGCCCACUGCCCACCCGAAAGCCACCAAGGUAGCAGGUAAGCAGAGUACAACAAACGUUUCUUACAAAUGGGUUUAGGCCAGACCCUACUUACAGAGACCUGGAUAUGAAUCUGUUACACAACAGGUUUUUUACAGUUGGAUGCUAGUGAGUGGAGAAAGCCGAUGACAAAGUGCUGAGCAGCGAGUCCCCAGACACAUUCUAACUGCAUGGAAGAUGUGAUUUCCCACAAUACCUUAAACCCACAGUUCCUUAGAGGCUGGCCUGGACACAAUUCUAAAAGAGAUGCCAUUCAAAAGAAACCAAAUUCUAGACCAGAUCAUGAGGCAAAUAUCCAACACUUGGACUCCACACUGUAACCUGAUUAGAAGUUGGAGUUCAGUGGAAGAAUGUCUUGGAUAUUUGAGAACAUGACUUUAUCUGUAUUUAAUUUAGCCUUGCUGGAAUUUAAAACUGUAGGGGAAAAUUCAGUCAACCUCCUAAAUUCUGUGAGUUUUUGUUUUUGUAUGUGAGUUUCUGCAUACACAUAAUGAAACUCCCAUCAUUUAGGAGGUUGACUGAAUUUUGGGUAUACAGAAAUUCAUACUUUAUGUGUUUCUUCUUCUGUCAGUGUAUUCCUGAGGGAACACCAAAACCAGUCCCCAAACCCAAGUACCCAAAUUAGGAUUGACCAGAGUAGCAAGGGGACAGAUUAAAACAUUUUAUAAAGACCAUUAUGCAUCUACGUCUGCAGUGAUUAAUUAUAAAAUGAUUUCUAUGAUCUCCAGCCAUAUGGUUAAAAUGGCAAAUGGGAAUGAAGAAAAAAGAGUUACAUAAAUAUUAUAGCUGAAAAAAUGAAGUUUAUAAUAAAA